rnacentral:rRNA from 1 species
GAUGAACGCUGGCGGCGUGCCUAAUACAUGCAAGUCGAGCGAACAGAUAAGGAGCUUGCUCCUUUGACGUUAGCGGCGGACGGGUGAGUAACACGUGGGUAACCUACCUAUAAGACUGGGAUAACUUCGGGAAACCGGAGCUAAUACCGGAUAAUAUUUCGAACCGCAUGGUUCGAUAGUGAAAGAUGGUUUUGCUAUCACUUAUAGAUGGACCCGCGCCGUAUUAGCUAGUUGGUAAGGUAACGGCUUACCAAGGCGACGAUACGUAGCCGACCUGAGAGGGUGAUCGGCCACACUGGAACUGAGACACGGUCCAGACUCCUACGGGAGGCAGCAGUAGGGAAUCUUCCGCAAAGGGCGAAAGCCUGACGGAGCAACGCCGCGUGAGUGAUGAAGGUCUUCGGAUCGUAAAACUCUGUUAUUAGGGAAGAACAUACGUGUAAGUAACUGCGCACGUCUUGACGGUACCUAAUCAGAAAGCCACGGCUAACUACGUG